rnacentral:rRNA from 1 species
AGUAACGCGUGGGCAACCUGCCCCAUAGAGGGGGACAACAGCUGGAAACGGCUGCUAAUACCGCAUAACAAGGAGAGAGCGCAUGUUCUUUUCUUCAAAGAUUUAUCGCUAUGGGAUGGACCCGCGUCUGAUUAGCUAGUUGGUGAGGUAACGGCUCACCAAGGCGACGAUCAGUAGCCGGCUUGAGAGAGUGAACGGCCACAUUGGGACUGAGACACGGCCCAGACUCCUACGGGAGGCAGCAG